rnacentral:rRNA from 1 species
UUGGGCCUACGGGGGGCAGCAGUGAGGAAUAUUGGUCAAUGGGCUUACGCCUGAACCAGCCAAGUCGCGUGAGGGAGGACUGCCCUAUGGGUUGUAAACCUCUUUUGUCAGGGAGCAACGCCGGCUACGUGUAGCUGGACUGAGAGUACCUGAAGGAAAAGCAUCGGCUAACUCCGUGCCAGCAGCCGCGGUAAUACGGAGGAUGCGAGCGUUAUCCGGAUUUAUUGGGUUUAAAGGGUGCGUAGGCGGAAUGCCACGUCAGCGGUAAACUCGCGGU